rnacentral:rRNA from 1 species
UACGUAGGGGGCAAGCGUUGUCCGGAUUUAUUGGGCGUAAAGAGCGUGUAGGCGGCUAGGUAGGUCCGUUGUGAAAACUCGAGGCUCAACCUCGAGACGCCGAUGGAAACCAUCUAGCUAGAGUCCGGAAGAGGCGAGUGGAAUUCCUGGUGUAGCGGUGAAAUGCGCAGAUAGUCAGGAGGAACACCAAUGGCGAAGGCAGCUCGCUGGGACGGUACUGACGCUGGAGGCGCGAAAGCGUGGGGAGCAAACAGG